UAAUACGGGGGGGGCAAGCGUUGUUCGGAAUCACUGGGCGUAAAGGGCGCGUGGGCGGCCACCGCAAGUCGACUGUGAAAUCUCCGGGCUUAACCCGGAAAGGUCAGCCGAUACUGCGGGGCUAGAGUGCAGAAGGGGCAACUGGAAUUCUCGGUGUAGCGGUGAAAUGCGUAGAUAUCGAGAGGAACACCUGCGGCGAAGGCGGGUUGCUGGGCUGACGCUGACGCCGAGGCGCGAAAGCUAGGGGAGCGAACGGG
rnacentral:rRNA from 1 species